CGGGCCGGCACAGGGAGCCCAGGACAUGCCCGGCGGCUCCGGAACCCAGGUCCACUGUGGCUGGGCCGCCUGCCCCUCCCCUGCAUGGCCCAGGCUGGGGCCACAGGACGUACACCUGAACUCAGGCUUGAACAUCCAGCUGUGGCUCAACAUGCCUCCACCGACAUGCCCACCUCCAGGUCUGUGCUCAGAUGUGAAUGAAUCUACCCUGCCUCUAUGAACAAGACCCCCCUCAUCGACACUCCUCGCCCCCUUCUCUCCAUGGCACCCAUCACCAAUUGACAUGUGGAAUUUAACAUUUUUAAUUGUGUUAAUGUUAUUAUCAUUAUUGGUUUUGAAUGUCUCCACCCACUGUGCCCCACAAGGGCAGGACUGUUUCUGGGGUGUCCACUACAGCAUCCUCAGCACCUCUGGGUCUGGUUCAGUGUUUGCUCAGUAAAAUGUUUGGCAGAGGCACAAACAGGGAUCAGGAAGGGGUUAAUUGGCUUCCGGGGCCACCACGUUAGGACAUGCUGGAGCCAAGAUUUGAACCCAGGGGUCCAAGUCCCAUGCUGUGUCCUUAACCUCCCAGGGCUUGUUCCACGUCAACACCCGGAGAUGGUGGCUGUCACUGUCACGAUUUUUAGGGCAAUAAGCUCAUCCUUUCCUACCCGCAAGGGAAGACUUUCGGGAGGGGGAAAAAUGGAGAGGUCAGGCCACCUGUGGCCUCCAGCCAGUAGGAGGUGACUCACCAGCCCCAUGAUGACAGGUGACAUUCCAACCUCUUCCCUGGGGGACUUUGGCCUGAGAUAAAGGGAGCACCCUGCUUCUGGGAAGAAGAGGACAAACAGGUGGGAGAGGUGGCCAGGCCACUGCCUCGGGGGGUGGAGGAGGCUGCAUAUCUGGGCUGGAGGGCUGCAGGGUCCAGUCACGAAGUGGGGCAGUCCAGGCUGGACUGGCCAGAUUGACCCUUGAGCCUUCCUUUUGGGGUCAAAGAUGCAGCCUGAGUCCUCUUAUCAGGAAAAUGGAGCUCUCCCUGUGAAGUCAACACCCCGGCCUCUCCCUCGGGCGGUCCGGGGAAAGCUGCUCAACGCUGCUCCAUUUUCCCUUGCCAUUUUUGCAUGGGUCAGAAGAAUCUGAGCCGAUCAGCAAAUACGUUUUGAAAAAGAACAUCAGGGGCAACAGACUCUGGCCAGAUGGUCUUUAUUUGAUUCAUAUUUUGAUUUUUAAAAUUCCUAACUAUACCAAGUGUCCAUCAAUAGAUGAAUGGAUAGAAGAUAUGGUAUAUAUACACAAUGGAAUAUUAUCCGGCCAUAAAAAAGGAAGAAAUCCUGCCAUUUGCAGGAAAAGACAAAUAUGAUUUCACUUAUAUAAUUUCACUUAUAUGUGGAAUCUAAAAACGAAAUGAACAAAACAGCAAUACUCAUAGACAAUAAGAAGUGACUGGUGGUUACCAUGGGGGAGGCUGGGAGGGGGUGAAAAGGCUGAAGGAGAUACAGACAAAAAAAAUCUCAAUCGUAAUAUGAAUUAGUCAUGAGGAUGAAAGUACAGCAUGGAGAAUAUAGUCAAUAGUUCUGCAACAGCUUUCUAUGUUGACAUUAACUACUAGUUGGGAUGAGGAUUUAAUAACAUAUAUAACUACUGAAUCACUACUUUGUAUACUAGAAACCAAUACAAUAUUGUUUAUCAACUAUACUUCAAUAA